rnacentral:rRNA from 1 species
GACGAACGCUGGCGGCGUGCCUAAUACAUGCAAGUAGGACGCAGUUGCGAACGGGUGAGUAACGCGUAGGUAACUACCUAUUAGCGGGGGAUAACUACUGGAACCGAUAGCUACUUCCGCAUACUAGUAGCUGGACCUGGGUUGUAUUGCCUAGUAGGUAGGGUAAUGGCCUACCUAGGCAACGAUACAUAGCCGACCUGAGAGGGUGAUCAGCCACACUGGAACUGAGACACGGCCCAGACUCCUACGGGAGGCAGCAGUGGGGAAUAUUGGACAAUGGGCGAAAGCCUGAUCCAGCCAUGCCGCGUGUGUGAAGAAGGUCUUCGGAUUGUAAAGCACUUUAAGUUGGGAGGCGUUACCAACAGAAUAAGCACCGGCUAACUUCGUGCCAGCAGCCGCGGUAAUAC